UACGAAGGGUGCAAGCGUUACUCGGAAUUACUGGGCGUAAAGCGUGCGUAGGUGGUUGUUUAAGUCUGUUGUGAAAGCCCUGGGCUCAACCUGGGAAUUGCAGUGGAUACUGGGCGACUAGAGUGUGGUAGAGGGUAGUGGAAUUCCCGGUGUAGCAGUUAAAUGCGUAGAGAUCGGGAGGAACAUCCAUGGCGAAGGCAGCUACCUGGACCAACACUGACACUGAGGCACGAAAGCGUGGGGAGCAAACAGG
rnacentral:rRNA from 1 species